UGAAAGCUCUCGGAUUUAAUUUAAAAUAUCUUAACUUGUGUUCUGAAGAUGAACGAAGGUCUUACGGGUUUGUAACGACAUGAGGGUGAGUAAUUAAUGACAGAAUUUCCAUUUUUAGGUGAACUAUACCUUUAACUUCCCUAAGCAGUGCGCAUCUACCAAGGAGUCUUUAUAUACUUGAUAUAAAUUUUAGGACAUCUUUAAAUUAUUUUGCAUUCUCUUUUUAAAUUUUAAUUGUCAAUGUCAUUUCACUGUGUAUUUAAAUAGUUAAACAUGUAAAAAUGUAGUAGUUAAACAGUUAAACGGACACAUGUCAUUCAGAAUUGUAUUUCUGUGAUUUUUGCAUUUUCUGGACAAAAAAAAAAGAAAGAAAGAAAAUUGCAUGUUUGUGAUUGGUACAGAUUUUAACACAUUUGUGAAUGUCAGUUGGCAUUAAAAAUCAUUUUUAACAGUCUAAAUAACCUGUAUUCUUCAUUAUGUAUUAAUCCAUGAUUGUCUUGUUAAGCAUGGGCAAAAUUAUGAGAAUAACCCAGCAAGAAUAACCCAGAAACACAAAAAUGCAAACACAUAAAUGGUAAAAAUGACUAUAUCUUGGGUUUUCUCAACAACCCAGCCUGCUGGGUUAAAAUGUGUAAACCAGCAUGCUGGGUUACUUUAACCAAGCAUGUGUUCGGUCCAAUAUUUACCCAGCGCUGGGUUGCCAAUUGGGUUAUUUUUAACCCAGCCAUUUUUAGAGUGCAUAUAAAGCACUGUGCACUGUUAAAAAUUGCUGUUAAUUUACGGCAGAAUUUCAACAGUAUAAUCCUGUUAUGUUCAAAAGCAGUACAUUACUGUUUUUUUCGUUUUUGUGAAAUGACGUAGACACAAUAUAACGGCAUUCUACUGUAUUUAUAACUCGAAGGAAAUAAAACAUUACUAUCCAGUAUUUUUGUAAACUGCAGUGAGCACGCCGGGACUUUCAUCCGUCUUGUUAACAGGCAAGUUCCCCUUUGCUUUGCGCGAUUUCAUAGACAAAAUACAUUACAUUUGCUACUGCAACUAAUCUGUAUAGUGGAUAUCGGAAGUGACACUAUCUUUUAUUUGCUCUUUUCAGUGAUAAACGCGCCAAAUGCGACAUCAUCGAGUGCAACUGGAUUUCUGACUCUGUGACUCGGAUUAUAUUAUUCCCAAUUACAGGGUUCAGGUGAAACACCACGAAGAAGAAUCCAGCACUGGAUGAUCAGCCUUGAGGAGCACAUCAUUUGUGAGGGCAUCCAGCCGGCUUUUCUGUCUGGGCUUGCAGCUGAUUUUUCUACUUACAACAAUUUCAAUCUUCAAUACCAAGCUGAAGACGCAUGCACGUUGGAAUUUAUUCAAAGGUGGUUCAUCGAGAUAAAUCCGGAAAAGGGACCAGGGCUGGAGGAGUCAUAUCAAAGCUG